rnacentral:rRNA from 1 species
CUUAAGCAUAUCAAUAAGCGGAGGAAAAGAAACCAACAGGGAUUGCCCUAGUAACGGCGAGUGAAGCGGCAACAGCUCAAAUUUGAAAUCUGGCUUCCUUGGAAGUCCGAGUUGUAAUUUGCAGAGGGCGCUUUGGCGUCGGUAGCGGUCUAAGUUCCUUGGAACAGGACGUCACAGAGGGUGAGAAUCCCGUACGUGGUCGACUGCCUUCGCCGUGUAAAGCCCCUUCGACGAGUCGAGUUGUUUGGGAAUGCAGCUCUAAAUGGGAGGUAAAUUUCUUCUAAAGCUAAAUACUGGCCAGAGACCGAUAGCGCACAAGUAGAGUGAUCGAAAGAUGAAAAGCACUUUGGAAAGAGAGUCAAACAGCACGUGAAAUUGUUGAAAGGGAAGCGCUUGCCGCCAGACGUGCCCGUGGUGGUUCUCCUCCGCGGGCAGGCCAGCAUCAGUUUGGGCGAUCGGAUAAUGGCCUCUGUCAUGUAUCUCCCUUCGGGGUGACCUUAUAGGGGAGGCGUAAUGCGACCAGCCCGGACUGAGGUCCGCGCAUCUGCUAGGAUGCUGGCGUAAUGGCUGUAAGCGGCCCGUCUUGAAACACGGACCAAGGAGUCUAACAUCUAUGCGAGUGUUUGGGUGUCAAGCCCGAGCGCGUAAUGAAAGUGAACGGAGGUGGGAACCCUUUGGGUGCACCAUCGACCGAUCCUGAAGUCUUCGGAUGGAUUUGAGUAAGAGCAUGGCUGUUGGGACCCGAAAGAUGGUGAACUAUGCUUGAAUAGGGUGAAGCCAGAGGAAACUCUGGUGGAGGCUCGCAGCGGUUCUGACGUGCAAAUCGAUCGUCAAAUUUGGGCAUAGGGGCGAAAGACUAAUCGAA